rnacentral:rRNA from 1 species
UGAUGACGGUACCCGUAGAAGAAGCCCCGGCUAACUUCGUGCCAGCAGCCGCGGUAAUACGAAGGGGGCGUAGCGUUGCUCGGAAUGACUGGGCGUAAAGGGCGUGUAGGCGGUUUUGACAGUCAGAUGUGAAAUCCCCGGGCUUAACCUGGGAGCUGCAUUUGAGACGUUAAGACUAGAGUGUGAGAGAGGGUUGUGGAAUUCCCAGUGUAGAGGUGAAAUUCGUAGAUAUUGGGAAGAACACCGGUGGCGAAAGGCGGCAAACCUGGCUCAUUACUGACGCUGAGGCGCGAAAGCGUGGGGAGCAAAACAGGAUUAGAUACCCUGGUAGUCCACGCUGUAAAACGAUGUGUGCUAAGAUGUUGGGGUAACUUAGUUACUCAGUGUCGCAGUUAACGCGUUAAGCACACCGCCUGGGGAGUACGGCCGCAAGGUUGAAACUCAAAGGAAUUGACGGGG